rnacentral:tRNA from 1 species
GUGUCUGUAGCCUAGUGGUAAAAGGCAGCACCCUAGUAUGCUGAGGUUGUGGGUUCAAAUCCCACCAGACACA